rnacentral:lncRNA from 1 species
GGGGUGGUGCAAGCGUGCUGUCCAUAGCCUGAACCAGCCUGGAAUCCAGAGCACCAUCCAGAGAGGGAACAUGGGACUCAUGAGACCUCCAGUUGACACAUAGUGUUUACUGUGACUUUUGCAAAGAGGAAAUUUGUAUGACUGUAGAUAAUCCCCCCCAUACUUCAUAAUUUAUAUGUCACUCAGAACGUAGGCUGACAUACAGCUGAUUAACAGCAAGCUUUGGUGGCACAUUAAUUAGUAUUUAAUCCAGAGGCUCUAUUAAGAUGUGAUAAAAAUAUCUCUUUUUUUUCCAGUAGUCAUUCAAUUACAAUGCACAAAUGAUCUUGACCAUCUUCUGAGUUUCACAUAUUUCACUUAAAAGCCUAAUAACCAUGUCUCACUUCUGUGAAAAUUGGCACACACACAACAGACUCCCCAGAUACAGCUUGGAUUAAUGGGAAGUGCUUAUGAUAAAAGAGCAAUUGUACAUUUUUUAAAGAAUAACUAAUGCCAAUAAGUACAGCUGAGAUGAGUCUGUUAUUUGUACAUUGUUGAUAUUCCUUUCUCUCCCCUUUUGCUAAGUGCACUGUGUAGUUUUGAGACUAUUGUUUAUCUUUCAGCACCUCUUUGUUUCUUUUCUGAAAUCAAAGAAUGUGGCUUAAAAGAAUGUGACUUACAGAAAGGGGGGAGGAGGAGGAGGGAAUUGUGCUCCUGGAUGGAAUUAUUUGUAAAUAAUUUAUCUUCUUGCAGUGCCUUUCUCUUCUUUCUUCAACAUUCUUGCAUCUACUUCUUUCUUGCUGGAGCCCACGAUGAUAUUCUCUUUUGCAGAUAAGAGUUAUUUUGCUGCAAGCUCUGUGUUAGAGCAGUUUUGCCUUUCUGCUGAGAAUACGAAUGCAGAGUUCUGGUGGCAGUGGCCACAAUUCAACAAGAAAGAGCCCAGGAUUUAUUUGGUGGAGGAGAGAACCCAUAGGCUGCAGGCAAUAGAGCUCGUCUGAACUGGAAAGUAAAAGCAAACCUGGACAGAGGCUGGUUGGUAAGGUGCAGGUAGACAGAUCUCUUUGGAAUGCUCCUCCUCAGAUUUCACUGGUUGCCAUCGAGCAGUCAGAAGGAAAUAUGAGCCUUGUAAAGUGUGGGAAAGAAGCUGCCUUUGACAAGCAAAAGGCCCAGUCCAGGUCAUUUUCUUUGACUCCAAUAAGAUUUGACUAAGACAUAAAGAAGCUGGGCUGCAGCAUGGAAAAAAAAUCUAUCUUAGUUCUGAGAGUAGCUUGAACUACUGACCCAGGACAUUGGCUACGAGGUGCUCUGGAGCCAGCCUGAAGCUUUCACGACCAGUGUUGUUGCUCCUGUCUCUCCCAGAUGUCUGUUAAAUCAGGAUAGAUGCUUCACUGAAUUUAGAGAAAAUUAACUGCUAGCCCUGAGUGCAGGAGGAGAAGAUUUAUUUAAAGCGCUUGUCCCUCUUUGGAAGACAAAGCAGCAGAUUGAAGUUAAACCUGCCAAUAUGGAUCAUGCUGGAGAUAAGCAACGUUGAAAGCAGCACUGUCAGCCUCCUGCAAACUUGUCCUUGGGCCUGUCUGAAGAGGUGGCAGAGUGGACAGAUGGCUCUGAGCUCCUUGUCUUAGUUCAGCAUUUCAAUUCUCCAAGAUUUCUCCAUGAGAGGAACUCACAGAUAAACCCAGGCCUGAUUAGUUGGCAGAAGGUUCUGGUAAUUUUUGGGCACACAUCCCUGGAAGGGGUUAUGGAUGAUCCCUCUUUUAUUAGUUCAGACCCUGUGCCACCCUCCAGCUCUGUGUGCCAGGGUUUGUGCUGAAGGGAAGGCCCUGCUGUCACCCUGCCCCAGGGACAAGUCCCAGGGAUGGACAGAACACGCUGGCCUCAGCUGGGGCACUCACAGGAAUUGCGGUUUGUGUGUGCAGGAUCUGUAAGCAUCAACUCUUCCAAAAUGGUUUGAAGAUGAGUAGUCUUACACAGAAGAAAAAAGAGAAGAUCUCUGUUUAUCAAGCCAGGAUUUAAUCCUUCCAAUUAGAUUUUUGAGGUGGGAGAAACCCAUGGAAGAAUUUGAAAUGUCUAAAAUGACAGAUAGCUGCUAUAAAUAUUUUUUACCACCUCAUUGUUCAGCCUGGACAGGAGAAGCCUUGGGGUGAGCUCAUUGCAGGACCUGAAGGAGCUGCAGGAAAGAUGGAGAGAGACAAUUGCCAAGGGCUGCAGGGACAGGAGCCAGGGAAUGGCUCCCAGUGCCAGAGGGCAGGGCUGGAUGGGAUCUUGGGAAUGAGGAAUUGUUCCCUGUGAGGGUGGGCAGGCCCUGGCACAGGGUGCCCAGAGCAGCUGGGGCUGCCCCUGGAUCCCUGGCAGUGCCCAAGGCCAGGCUGGACACUGGGGCUGGAGCAGCCUGGGACAGUGGGAGGUGUCCCUGCCAUGGCUGGGGUGGCACUGGGCUUUAAGGUCCCUUCCAACCCAACUGUUUCCAUGAUUCCCUGAUUUUUAGGUACAUCCUCACUAGUCCCCCACCUCUGCUAACCUCCACUUCUCCUGGCUCGUUCCCACCUUUUUCUCUGUGUUCCCUCCUUUUUCCUCACCUGCCAGUUGCUCAGCUCCUGCCCUUCCCCACUUUAACCAUCACCCCUCAGCUCCUUUUUCCCUUUGACAUCUCCUUUUUCUUUCUUGCAGGAACCCACUGGAAAGAGCUAUUCAGGGGUACAGUGACUUUUAAAAGACUUUAAAAGACUUUAAACUUUUAAAGGGUGAGCUAUGAAUCCAACCACAUCCCUGCAAAGCCUUUUUGGCAUCACUUUGUGCAACUCGUGGCCUGCUCCUGUGCAGGCCAUGCUCCACAGGCUGAGGGCUCUUCAUUGGCCGUCCUUGUGGUUCCUGAAAGAAUAAAUGGUGCUGUCAGCUCCUCA